AAGCCACAGAUGCAGCAACGCCGGCUCCUUAGCCCACUGUGCCGGGCUAGGGAUCAAACCAUCCUGGGGCUCCCAAGAUGCCGCGAUCCCCUUGCACCACAGUGGGAGCUCCUGUGGCAGAUCUAUUUUACAUGCUGCUUGCAGGAGAAGGAUCUUAGAUGUGAUUGCAGAAGCCAGAUUUCUUCCUUUCCUGUUGCCUAGAAUGCCACGAAUAGAACCACUUAGGCUGGCAGAGGAGCCCAUCAGAGUCAAUUACCAAGGCCGUGUGGGAGGGUCUUUUUCUACUCUGAAUGACGUCAGCUGGCUUGGAAGUGAGAUGCCCGCCAACUUGCUGGGAAAGCCAAGUUAACAUUUCAUGAGUAUCAGAUGCCCGUCUUUGGCCAGCACUGACCUCCACUAAACACAGCGUUUUCACCAGAGAACUGCAGAUUGCAACACUGUUCGCCUUCAAGAAAAUGACUGGCCUGAAAAAGAGCCUGGUGUCAAAGUGAGGGACAUUCUUCCACUUCCACCCAAUCCAGAAAUACUUCCUCUUUCCCCCAUCCAGGAAAGUGGUAGCUUCCUUCCACCUUCUCAAAGCGUAUGAAAAAUAAACAUGGGUUUUCACCGUCAAAUAAGUAUGAUUUGGCUACAUCUAAUUUUCACUGGAAAACAUUGCAUCAAAAGAUACUUUGCAAAAGGGAAAUGGACAACACUCUGAGACUUGCAAAGCAUACAAAUAAAGGAUGCCCAGCCAGAAAAUAGAAAGAACUCCUAAGUCGAUAAAUGAAAGACCCAUAAUCUUAAAAAAAAAGGGGGGGGGAAACCAUGAAGAGAUAAGUCAUGGAACAGAAAAGUCUAGUGGCCAAUAAACAUGGUCAAAUGCUUGACUUCACUAAUAAUCAGGAGCAUGAAGUAAAUACACAAUUUACCAUUUCACACCUAGUAGAUUACGGUUUCUGAAAAUUCCAGAUCUGGAAGAGGAUGUCAAGCAAAGGAUGGCCAACUGUGACCUGGUCCCAAAUCUCUCCAGCCAUCUGUUUUGUAUAACCUGCAAGACUGUGUUCUCUAUUUUUAAAUCAUUGAAAACAAUCAAAAGAAUUGUUUUGUGGCACAUGAAAAUGACAAAGUUCAAAUUUCAGUGUCCUUGAAUAAAGGUUAUUCGAAUA
rnacentral:lncRNA from 1 species